rnacentral:rRNA from 1 species
UACAGAGGUCUCAACCGUUGUUCGGAUUCAUUGGGCGUAAAGGGUGCGUAGGCGGUCGGGUAAGUCGGAUGUGAAAUCCCAGGGCUCAACCCUGGAAACUGGCAUUCCGAUACUGCCUGGCGUAGGGUACUGGAGAGGAGACGUGGAAUUUACGGUGUAGCAGUGAAUGCGUAGAUAUCGGUAAGGAAGACCAGUGGCGAAGGCGAGUCUCUGGACAGUACCGACGCUGAGGCACGAAGGUCAGGAGCAA